rnacentral:rRNA from 1 species
UACGGAGGGAGCUAGCGUUGUUCGGAAUUACUGGGCGUAAAGCGCACGUAGGCGGCUUUGCAAGUUAGAGGUGAAAGCCCGGGGCUCAACUCCGGAAUUGCCUUUAAAACUGCAUCGCUAGAGUUGUGGAGAGGUAAGUGGAAUUCCGAGUGUAGAGGUGAAAUUCGUAGAUAUUCGCAAGAACACCAGUGGCGAAGGCGGCUCACUGGCCCGGUACUGACGCUGAGGUGCGAAAGCGUGGGGAGCAAACAGGG